CAACUGCAGGCCCUGAGCUCUGGGGAGGGCACUGCUCUGCAGGCUUUGAGAAGGUCAGGAGAGACAUAAUGCUGGAUGUCUGCUACAAAUAUAUGUAUAAAGCAUAUAAAAAACCCCAUUUGAUAAGGGCUCUCCACAGGACUCUCUCACACUGAGGGAUGACCUUUCAGGGAAUCCUUUCAGCCAGGUCUCCAUUUCUUCUCAGCUGGCUGUCACGGAGAUAUGUGUGUGGACUAUGCUGGAAACUUUUAUGCAUCAAGACAUUUUGUUUUCCCGGAGCCUCAGGAUGUCCUCUUUAAUUCUGACAAGGCCCUGGAAGAAGAAACCUUGUGUGAAGCAGAGAAUGGUUAAUGAGAGAGAGGAGCAAGCAC